rnacentral:rRNA from 1 species
UACGAAGGACCCGAGCGUUAUCCGGAUUUAUUGGGUUUAAAGGGUGCGUAGGCGGACUAAUAAGUCAGUGGUGAAAGCCUGAUGCUUAACAUCAGAAUUGCCAUUGAUACUGUUAGUCUUGAGUAUGGUUGAGGUGGGCGGAAUGUGUCAUGUAGCGGUGAAAUGCUUAGAUAUGACACAGAACACCAAUUGCGAAGGCAGCUCGCUAAGCCAUAACUGACGCUGAGGCACGAAAAGCGUGGGGAGCAAACAGG